CUCCCGGCAGUGCAGCUGCCGCUACCGCCGCCCCUCCGUCCGUCAGCUUGCCCGUCUACCCGCAGCAUGAGCAGCCUGCGCGUCUACAGCACGUCGGUCACCCACUCCCGCGAAAUCAAGUCACAGCAGAGCGAGGUGACCCGCAUCCUGGAUGGGACACGCAUCCAAUACCAACUAGUGGACAUCUCCCAGGACAACGCCCUGCCGGAUGAGAUGCGAGUCUUGGCGGGCAACCCCAAGGCCACCCCACCCCAGAUUGUCAACGGACACCAUUGCUGUGGGGACUAUGAGCUCUUCGUGGAAGCUGUGGAGCAGAACACACUGCAGGAGUUCCUGAAGCUGGCCUGAGUCGAGGCAGCCCACGGUUCUCCCGCUCGACUCCAUCACCACACUCUCCUCUCCCCCGGCCAUGAAGGACCUUGUGACCAACUCCCUGUCAUUCCUAGCCUUCUGACCUUGGAGUCCCUACCCCAAGCCCAGGCCCCUUCUCCUGCCCCCUCUCACUGUUGCUCCCUCUCCUCUAUUCAAAGGCAACAUUCCUGACUGACUAGUCGCAGAAAUUGUCUUAAGCAGCAGCUCCAAAUGUUGGCUGUCCCCAGCCAGGUCUUGGGGUUGCCACCCUGCCAGGCGCUGGCUGAUGGGCACCUCUGUUGGUUCCAUUAGCCAGAGCUCUGCCAAAGGCCCCGCAAUCCCCCUUCCAGGAGCACCUAGAGACAAUUAAAUGCCCUUUUCCACUG